rnacentral:lncRNA from 1 species
UAGAACGGUAUUCCAUGAAUCAAAAAAUGUGUGAAAUUGCUUAAGGUCGCUAAUGGAGCCCGAGUCUAGUGUGUUUGUCGGUUAACUGUUAUUUGGCCUGUUUUACAGUUUUAAAUGCAGUAUAUAGUUUCGUGUGCAUAUUGUACUGUUUUAUUGAUUAUGGAUUGAAUGACUGGUUUAUUGAUGCUGUAUAUUGUCUGUUUGGCAUAAAUUACUGUUUUGCUUGUUUGUAUGUGGAUUGAUGAUGCUGACUGAGGGAAAAGAGAAUGAUAGAUUAUGUAAAUAGGUAAUUGUAUAAUGUGAUCAGCCUGACUAGAUAUCCUGUGAGAUGGUGGACGGACCGGGUCCGUAGGGAACCCUACCGGGAUUGUGGUCUCCCAUACCGGACGGGAUAUGGAGAUCUUAUGUGUUUUGGCGCCCAUACCGGACGGGGUAUGGGGACGGCCCGUUUCACCCUCAUACCGGACGGGGUAAUGAGGUCUAUAGUUUUGGCGCCCAUACCGGACAGGGUAUGGGGACGGCCCUGGAAAAAUGAUUUCAAGUGUUAAGGGUUAACGGGUAGC